CGGGGCCCUGAGGGAGCUGCGGGAGCUGCUGGGUCCGUGCUCACGGGCUGCCGGGCCUCAAAGCCGCCGAACAUCCAUGGGCAACCCCGAGCAAAGGUGUCCGCUAGAGAAACCCGGGCACCGGCGUUUCCGAUGACAUAAAGCCUUGUCCCAGCCAGAUGCAGCUAUCCAAAGAUACAGACAUCCUGGCUGCGGCUGUUUCGUUACGUAGAUGGAAAUAGGGGGCGAGACGAGAAGAGGCAAGCCUCGUUUAUACUGCGAAUCUCGUGUCGGUUUGCUUUCAUGUAUUUUUCUAUGCAAAUUUAUACCAGACAAAUCUGUAAUUUAUGUGGGUGUUGCUGGGCAAGUCCUGGUAGGCAGCUGGGUCCCACACAGGCGCUUGGUCACUCCCUCACAGGAGGAUGGAGAACAGAGUAAGAAGGGUAAAAGAAAAUGGCCAUCUAAAUAAAAAGAGUGUAAUAGGUAAAGCCACAAGCACAUAAGCAAAGCAAAAUAAGGAACUCACUCAGCACUUCAAGAUUGGCAGACAGAUGUGCAUUUAGCCAUUUCCAGGAAAGCAGAGCUGUGACAUGUGUGAAGUUUCCUUAGGAAGACAAGCACCAUAACUCCUAACUCCCCACAUUUCCUCCUUCUUACCUCAGCUCUCGCUGCUCAGCAUCACAUCGAGUUACUUGAGCAUUUAACUUGCAUUAAUAAAUCUCAUCCUAAUAAUGUAAGAGGACAUUCUGGCACAUAUAGAAACUAAUGAUUCAGUUCGGUAUCUCCAACUGUAUGCUCCAUGAGUUGUAGGAAUGGCCUCAAAACUCUAUUUCCCAUUGCCCCAACAAUUAGUAUUGUAACUUUACUUAGCAGGCCUUUGCAGAUAGUUCUUAUUGAAUGUAUGACCCCUCUAUGAAAAAUCUAUUGUUUCAUUUCCUGGUUUUACUGGAACUAGGGCGCUUGCUGGGGAUGCCUUGUUAUUUUUCCAUGGUCACCUUUACUCAUUGACAAAAAUCCUCCAAUAUAAUAAUUUUUACAUCUUCUAAUUGACCCUUCUUACCCAUAAAUAGCACAUAGAUUUAGGCUCUUUUCUUCUGUGGUAAAAAGGUAUUCAGUAUACCCUGCAUAUCCCCUCAACUAGGGCUACGAGUCAGCAUGAUAUUUUCCAAAAACUUUCUUCAAGAUUUUCAUGGUAGGAACCAACAGAUCAUUUCCAGUUCAACAAAUCUGAAGUGUAAAAGGGACACAUAUAAAAAAUUGGCAGACCCGCUGCUCCCAUUGCUUGACUGAAAGAUGCCUGUAUCACCUGUAGCGCUGGGAAUGUCCUUGAGUUCGGUCCACAAUAGGACUAAAAUCCGCACCACCUCCCAUAUGCUCUUUAUUUUGAUUCAUAUCCUCUUUAUUGAUCCCUGUCCCAAUGUUAUAUGGCAUGAAAAGGAGGGAACUAACAUUCACACAUCUUCUGUUUUCUUCCCUCCACAACAUACAAUCCCUUGCUGUUUUCUCUUCUCAAUACAUACACCUGCAUAUCUCUUCUCAUUUUACACUAGUUUCUGAAUAUCUGGAUCUCUGUGAAAUAAUGUCAUAAAAGGACAAACAUGAAAAAAACCUCAUUCCAUUUACCAAGUCAGCAACAAAACAACAUCAACUGUAAGGUAAUAGAUUGCAAAGGCACAAUUUCCUUAUCCUUCCUUCCUCAUCCUUCAAUUUAUAAGGUGGCCACCAUUGAUUACAAUAUCUCUUAAUUUUAUCUUCAGUCAUCGGAUCUUCCCCAAACUUAUUCCAAUUUUUCAGAAUACAAUUAGGAGGACUACAAGAAGGAAUGGUUUGAUCCUGUAUUUAAUAAUAUUUAAGUUACCCAAUUUCUUUAUCCUUAGGUCUCAACUUCCAACAGUUACACUGCUCCAGUCCCACUGAUCUAUUAAGGCCCUCUGCCAAGCAUUCUUUUGUGACUUACGUGGAGACUGAUACCUAUAAAUCUACAUCUUUAGAAAUUCUUAAUUUUUUUUUCCCAGGGAAGAAAGGAAAUAUGAUACUCACCACUUCAGGAAUUCAUCCGUAUCUCCCUUGCACAAAUACCUCUGGAGCAUUGCGCCUUUGAAUUGCCUUAUGCCCCAGUGCUGGAGAGGAUUUUUUGGAGUCCUCAGUGAAACUGGAGACAUCUUACUGUAAUGACCUUGAUGUGGAUGAAGUCAUGGGGAUAGUAGGAGCCAGCAAUUAGCUUGACAAAGAGACAAACACGCAGGACAUGUGAGGAGGGAGUAGAAGAAUGGAAGAAAAUUACCAGGCAAAGAAAGCAAAGAAGCCAUCAGAAGAGCGAAAUGUGUGCCUUUGAGUUUCAAGGAGGAGCUGUGGCAGGGCACCAGCAAGCCAAGAAGGAAAAGUGAAGAGUCCCUGUCCCUGAGGAUCAUGCAACCUGAAGCACCUGCUGCCUGUUUCUUUAGUGCAUUGUACCUGUUCAUGGAGUGGUGUAUUUAAAUCUCAGUGAAGUAAAAUAAGCCUUAAAUUUACUUUAUAUUUGUGUUUAUAUAUUUGUAUACAAUUUCUACUGUGAAAAAGAUAAAAAGAAGUAAAUGCAAGGAUAGUACAUAAUUCUAAUAAUCCCCUAACAGAAGUAAGUAAAGAAUUCACAUUGUUUCUUGACAUAAUUCUGCUGAUUCUAUCAAAAUCACUUUUAGAAUUUAUCUCAAUAUAUGCUUUUGUCUGUUAAAAGCUUGCUAAUUUAUGUUAGUAAAGUUGUCAUCCUCAAUUA